GAUCCUACGGGGGGCAGCAGUGGGGAAUAUUGGACAAUGGGGGAAACCCUGAUCCAGCGACGCCGCGUGAGUGAAGAAGUAUUUCGGUACGUAAAGCUCUAUCAGCAGGAAAGAAAAUGACGGUACCUGACUAAGAAGCCCCGGCUAACUACGUGCCAGCAGCCGCGGUAAUACGUAGGGGGCAAGCGUUAUCCGGAUUUAUUGGGUGUAAAGGGCGUGUAGGCGGGAACGCAAGUCAGAUGUGAAAACUCAGGGCUCAACCC
rnacentral:rRNA from 1 species